rnacentral:misc_RNA from 1 species
GGAAGUAAAAGUGUAACAAGGUUUCCGUAGGUGAACCUGCGGAAGGAUCAUUAUUGUAUAACCGAGGUGCGAGGGCUGUCGCUGACCCGAAAGGUCGUGCACGGCCGAGUGCCCUCACACACAUCCAUCUCACCCCUAUGUGCACCACCGCGUGGGUCCCCCUUUGGCUUGUUCGGAGGGGGGCUUACGUUUUCACACAAACUUUGUAUGCAGUGUAGAAUGUAUUUUUUGUUUUUGCGAUCACGCAAUCAAUACAACUUUCAACAACGGAUCUCUUGGCUCUC